rnacentral:rRNA from 1 species
CCAAUAGCGUAUAUUAAAGUUGUUGCAGUUAAAAAGCUCGUAGUUGAACUUCGGGGUUUACCCAUUGGUCAGGUUUAAUUAUCUGUACUGGUGAGAUAAAGCUCUACCUUCUGAGGAACUUUCAUGCCAUUUAUUUGGUGUGGGAGGAAAUCAGGACUGUUACUUUGAAAAAAUUAGAGUGUUUAAAGCAGGCUAACGUCUGAAUACAUUAGCAUGGAAUAAUGAAAUAGGACGGACUGAUUCUAUUUCGUUGGUUUCUAGGAUCACCGUAAUGAUUAAUAGGGAUAGUUGGGGGCAUUAGUAUUCAAUUGUCAGAGGUGAAAUUCUUGGAUUUAUUGAAGACUAACUACUGCGAAAGCAUUUGCCAAGGAUGUUUUCAUUAAUCAAGAACGAAAGUUAGGGGAUCGAAGACGAUCAGAUACCGUCGUAGUCUUAACCAUAAACUAUGCCGACUAGGGAUCGGACGAAGUUAAUUUUAUAAUGACGCGUUCGGCACCUUACG